CCUACGGGAGGCAGCAGUGGGGGAUAUUGCACAAUGGGGGGAACCCUGAUGCAGCAACGCCGCGUGGGUGAAGAAGUACUUCGGUAUGUAAAGCCCUGUCAGCAGGGAAGAAAAUGACGGUACCUGACCAAGAAGCCCCGGCUAACUACGUGCCAGCAGCCACGGUAAUACGUAGGGGGCAAGCGUUAUCCGGAUUUACUGGGUGUAAAGGGAGCGUAGACGGCAAGGCAAGUCUGGAGUGAAAGCCCGUGGCUCAACCACGGGACUGCUUUGGAAACUGUGUUGCUGGAGUGCAGGAGGGGUAAGCGGAAUUCCUAGUGUAGCGGUGAAAUGCGUAGAUAUUAGGAGGAACACCGGUGGCGAAGGCGGCUUACUGGACUGUAACUGACGUUGAGGCUCGAAGGCGUGGGGAGCAAACAGGAUUAGAUACCCCAGUAGUC
rnacentral:rRNA from 1 species